CCAGACUCCUACGGGAGGCAGCAGUGGGGGAUAUUGGACAAUGGGGGGAACCCUGAUCCAGCGAUGCCGCGUGAGGGAAGAAGGUUUUCGGAUUGUAAACCUCUGUGGACAGGGACGAUAAUGACGGUACCUGUCAAGAAAGCCACGGCUAACUACGUGCCAGCAGCCGCGGUAAUACGUAGGGGGCAAGCGUUAUCCGGAUUUACUGGGUGUAAAGGGAGCGUAGACGGCAGGGCAAGCCAGAAGUGAAAACGCAGAGCUUAACUUUGCGACUGCUUUUGGAACUGCCCAGCUAGAGUACAGGAGAGGUAAGUGGAAUUCCUAGUGUAGCGGUGAAAUGCGUAGAUAUUAGGAGGAACACUAGUGGCGAAGGCGGCUUACUGGACUGAGACUGACGUUGAGGCUCGAAAGCGUGGGGAGCAAACAGGAUUAGAUACCCCGGUAA
rnacentral:rRNA from 1 species